rnacentral:rRNA from 1 species
GAUGAACGCUGGCGGCGUGCUUAACACAUGCAAGUCGAACGGAAAGGCCGAAGCUUGCUUCGGUACUCGAGUGGCGAACGGGUGAGUAACACGUGGGUGAUCUGCCCUGUACUUCGGGAUAAGCUUGGGAAACUGGGUCUAAUACCGGAUAUGACGAUCUCUUGGAUGGGGUUGUGGAAAGCUUUUGCGGUAUGGGAUGAGCUCGCGGCCUAUCAGCUUGUUGGUGGGGUAAUGGCCUACCAAGGCGUCGACGGGUAGCCGGCCUGAGAGGGUGUACGGCCACAUUGGGACGGAGAUACGGCCCAGACUCCGACGGGAGGCAGCAGUGGGGAAUAUUGCACAAUGGGCGCAAGCCUGAUGCAGCGACGCCGCGUGGGGGAUGACGGCCUUCGGGUUGUAAACUCCUUUCGCAAUCGACGAAGCCUUUUGGUGACGGUAGGUUGAGAAGAAGCACCGGCUAACUACGUG